ensembl:lncRNA
AUUAUCUUCUUUUUGAAGUUUGUUGUAUAGACAUGCAUUAUGUCAUGGAAAGCAGGGAUGGCUUUUUUAAACAUUUUAAUAUAUUACGAAUAAAAAAAUUAUGUGUUGAAAAUUUAAAAAUAAAAAAAUAUUGUUUUUAAAAAACGACAUAGUUAAUCAUUUCCAAUGACCCGUAUGUAAAUUCCCUAAUGAGGAAGUAAAUUUUCCUUCCUUCUUAAGUUGGAAGUACAAACUGAUUUUGCUGUUUACACAGUACAGGAUAUUCCAGUAAAAAGCGAAAAUGUUACCGAACGUACUAGUCUGGAGACGUAUUUUAACAAAUUGAGGUGCUUUAAACUUAACAGUUGACACUCAAUUUCAAAACGCGGCUCUUCAUUUCACGAGACGCCGAACUGCAACAGCGACGCCAAACAGGGAUACGUGAGAUGUUUUGGCAAGGCUGGAGGACUUGAAGAAGUGCAAGGCUGCUGCGCAGAAGGGGAUGCUCGCGGAGCUACUGCCACAGUCACUUCAGCCAGGGCGACAGCAAGGAACUUGUCAAAGCAGCAGUUUGAAAAGGUGUUUGAUAUGCUGAAGUACAGGUAAAAUCCCCCCAGUCACUCUGAGCAAACAGCAGCUAUUUUUGAGCCAUGUGAUAGUGCUUAAAGCUGGAAACACAGUGGCUCACUUCAUGUGACUUUCUAAUUAGAGUCUUUAUGUUAAGACUGAUGUCAGGAAAGCAAAGUGUUUGUGACGUAUGGUGAAUUUAUUUUUAUUUUAUUUUUAAAUGUAAACAGAAAGCAAAACUCUCUAUACUUAGAUAGAUGCUACACUAAAUAGAUAUAUUUACACUAAAUACAGCAAAAAAGAAAAACAUUCUUUACAUAGCCAAGUCAGAAACAUAGUACAUAGUACAGUGAUAAAUGUUCACUGAACUGUCAAAAUGAACCAAAAACAUAGAAACCCAUUUAGGUGAGCGGGUUUGAUCAUUACUUUAGCUUGGACAUUAAAGGAAUAGUUCACUCAAAGCCAUCCAAGAUGUAGAUGAGUUUGAGUAUUGCAUCUGAACCGAUUUGAAGAAAUUUAGCAUCACUUUCUCAACAAUGUAUCCUCUGCAGUGAACGGCUGCCUUCAGAGUCCAAACAACUGAUAAAAACCCCACAAUAAUCCAGAGGUAGUCC